GCCCCGGGAGUCCCGGUGACCCGCGGGAUGUUUCACGGCAUCGCGGGCCCGGCCGGGCUCGGAGCCGCCGGGAACAGCCGGAGCUGUACGAGGAGGUGAAGC